rnacentral:rRNA from 1 species
AUUGAACGCUGGCGGCAGGCCUAACACAUGCAAGUCGAACGAGUGGCGGACGGGUGAGUAAUGUCUGGGAAACUGCCCGAUGGCGGGGGAUAACUACUGGCAACGGUAGCUAAUACCGCAUACCAUCGGAUGUGCCCAGAUGGGAUUAGCUAGUAGGUGGGGAAACGGCUCACCUAGGCGACGAUCCCUAGCUGGUCUUAGAGGAUGACCAGCCACACUGGAAAUGAGACACGGUCCAGACUCCUACGGAAGGAAGCAGUGGGGAAUAUUGCACAAUGGGCGCAAGCCUGAUGCAGCCAUGCCGCGUGUAUGAAGAAGGCCUUCGGGUGGGAAAGUACUUUCAGCGGGGAGGCGUUACCCGCAGAAGAAGCACCGGCUAACUCCGUGCCAGCAGCCGCGGUAAUAC